GACGAACCGUGCGAACGUUGUUCGGAUUCACUGGGCUUAAAGGGCGCGUAGGCGGGCCAGCAUGUCCGGGGUGAAAUCUUUCGGCUUAACCGGAAAAGGGCUUCGGAAACGGCUGGUCUUGAGGGAGGUAGGGCAGGUGGAACUUCCGGUGGAGCGGUGAAAUGCGUUGAGAAUCGGAAGGAACGCCGGUGGCGAAAGCGGCCCGCUGGGCAGGAAGGCUCGCAAGAGCCGGCUGACGCUGAGGCGACGACAGCGUGGGGAGCAAACAGG
rnacentral:rRNA from 1 species